rnacentral:rRNA from 1 species
AGAACGAACGCUGGCGGCAUGCCUAAUACAUGCAAGUCGAACGAACACUUCGGUGUUAGUGGCGCACGGGUGCGUAACGCGUGGGAAUCUGCCCUUGGGUUCGGAAUAACAGUUGGAAACGACUGCUAAUACCGGAUGAUAUCGAAAGAUCAAAGAUUUAUCGCCCAGGGAUGAGCCCGCGUAGGAUUAGCUAGUUGGUGAGGUAAAGGCUCACCAAGGCGACGAUCCUUAGCUGGUCUGAGAGGAUGAUCAGCCACACUGGGACUGAGACACGGCCCAGACUCCUACGGGAGGCAGCAGUAGGGAAUAGUUGGACAAGUGGGCGCAAGCCUGAUCCAGCAAUGCCGCGUGAGUGAUGAAGGCCUUAGGGUUGUAAAGUCUACGUUUACCGAGUAUGAUAAUGACAGUAUCGGG